AUGCUGUUGAUUAUGGUUAUGAUGGAACCCGUUUUGUCUCUGGUUCUGAUGAUGAUGAUCUCUGAGGCUCGAUCUCUUCUCGAUUUGGUCAGGAGACGGUGGAGAUCGCUUUGAACCGCCCGAUCUGGACACCGUACGCCCGUUAUUGAUGGUCCUUGAUGGUGAUCCGUUGGCUGAUCGAUCUUCUUGAUUCCUGGGCAUGAUGAUGACGAUGAUGAGCUUCAAUCCACAGGAAAUUUUAUAAAGAGAAGAAGAUUUGGGGCCAAACCUGGAAAGGAAGAUUUGCUUGCCCCCGACGAAACCGUUUCUAUGGUUUGAGCUCCGGUUAGAGGAAACCGGAUGAGGAGGAGGAGGUGGUGGCAUAGACGGAUUUACAGAUCUUCUUAAAAGCUUGUUCGAUUGAAUCUUACCGUGUCCAGAAGAAGACGAAGAGUCAUCGGCAGCCGCGGUGGCGGUGGUGGUGGAGGAUCGGAUCUCGGCUCUGGAGACUCUCGAUCGCUUCCGCUGUCCCCACUGUAACAGCACAUCUCCGCCGCGCUUGGUAGGGGCGGGAUCUGUUUGUUGGGAGGAUCUGAUACGGGCUCCGUCUAGUGAUGUGCAUGAUCCGCCGUUGAAUCCUUUUCCGGAGAUGGAGUUGGGUGUAAUGGUGGUGGUGGUGUCUUCGUGGGGUGAUCUUGAAGGUGAAGGUCUCAAGUAGGGCUUCUUUGCUCCGUUUGUGAGGGGGAGAACAUCUGGGCUUACUCUCUGAUACCUAAUCAAAAACAGGCAAACUCAGAUCAGGCGUUACAAAAUCGCUAAACGUAAGGAAGAUGCGUUUGUGUUUUUAAGUGAAAUUUCUCAAAAUGUUUUUGACUUUCUUUAUUGGUGGCUAGUCCAAAUCAGACUCUUUGAGAGAGAAGAAGCUCUUGAAUUUUUUUUUUAUUGUAAAGAUCCCCAGAAAAUUUUAAUAACUUGGCUGCUGGAUUCAAUAUAGUGAUCAAAUUGAAAACUGCUGCAUAGAUUAAAAAGGUUUUCAUAAAAACUUGAAUCUGAAGUUUUUCAAAUCAAACCUCAGAUCCAUAGAAACCAUUA